rnacentral:rRNA from 1 species
ACGGGAGGCAGCAGUGGGGAAUAUUGCACAAUGGGGGAAACCCUGAUGCAGCGACGCCGCGUGAGUGAAGAAGUAUUUCGGUAUGUAAAGCUCUAUCAGCAGGGAAGAAAAUGACGGUACCUGACUAAGAAGCUCCGGCUAAAUACGUGCCAGCAGCCGCGGUAAUACGUAUGGAGCAAGCGUUAUCCGGAUUUACUGGGUGUAAAGGGAGCGUAGACGGGACAGCAAGUCUGAUGUGAAAGGCGGGGGCUUAACCCCUGGACUGCAUUGGAAACUGUUGACCUUGAGUGCCGGAGAGGUAAGCGGAAUUCCUAGUGUAGCGGUGAAAUGCGUAGAUAUUAGGAGGAACAUCAGUGGCGAAGGCGGCUUACUGGGCUUUAACUGACGCUGAGGCUCGAAAGCGUGGGGAGCAAACAGGAUUAGAUACCCUGGUA